CUCAACAAAGAGUUCCUUGGAAUAUGGUACUGCCUUCCUGUUCUUAAAUGUACAGAGAUCGAGAGCUACUUCUUUGAGAGCCAAGGGGUCACAGCCCACAAUGAGGUCCUAGGAUUUACAUCAGAAAGAAGUUAUAUCAGCACUUAUUAUAGAUCUCUUCAUUACUUUAUUGAAAAAUAAUUAUUGAGCAUCCACACACCUCCCUCAGCCCCUUUGGUGAAAUCCCCACAGCACUUCAUUCCAUUUCCUAAACUGAAGACACCUUUUGAGAUGCCGGAUCUUUGCAUGUGCUCCUUGGAUCCUGUUCCUCAGAGCUCUCUCCAUCCUUGAAGAGCUUCGAAGACGAUGGUAUCUACAGCAGAAGGCAGGGAACAGGGCAGCACACUGCACCAUCUGCUGUGAUAAAUGCGCCCAGGGAGACAUCUUAAACUCUGUGACAGUGGAAAACAAAGUCGCCUCAGCAGCAACUUUCCGGAGGAGGUGCAUUUCAAGAUGGGCUGUGCAUCAUAGACAGCUUUCCUCUGAUGAUUUCUUGUUUGGGUAUUUGUCCUUGACGGAGCAUCUCACUAUGUAGCCUUGGAUGGCCUGGAACACCCUAUGUAUACCAGGUUAGUGACUUACUGUGAUCGUCCUGCCUCUGCCUUUUAAGUGACUUCACUCCUAACUUGUGAUAAUUUCUUUUCCAAAGAUUAAGUAAAAUUUAAAAAGUAACACAAAUUGUAUGUGUUCAUCAUACACAUAUUCUAGAAUAUGUAUGCACCAUAGAAUGGCUAAACAGAACUGAUUAAUGCCUGAGUUGUUCACACACAUCAGUUUUAAUGGCAAGAACGACCUCCAUUGUGUCUUCUCAAGACUCUGAGUUCCUUGUCUCAGAGCCAACUGGGCCUUGCAGACGCAAGGGAGAAACUUGGGUCUCCCCCUCUGCCUUCUAUAUUGGCAUCCUUGAGUAGUUCCUGCUCUUCACAGUCUCAUCCUCUUUCUAUUUCUAAAUCUUGAUCCCUGUCUAAGCCAGUACAGCUCUAGCUCUUCUUCCCCCCUUUUGCAAAUAUUCGGUAAACAUAAGAACUACCUCACGUGGAAGACCUCCAAGGCACAGUGUGCUUCGUGAUCUGCGCAGGCUGUGGAGGCACCUGAAGGAGACAUGACAGGUGAGAUGCCACUCA
rnacentral:lncRNA from 1 species